rnacentral:rRNA from 1 species
UAAGAGGUCCGCCUGCCCCGUGACCACGUGUUUAACGGCCGCGGUAUUUUGACCGUGCAAGGUAGCGCAAUCACUUGUCUUUUAAAUGAAGACCCGUAUGAAUGGCACGACGAGGGCUUAACUGUCUCCUUUUUCCAGUCAAUGAAAUUGAUCUCCCCGUGCAGAAGCGGGGAUGAAACCAUAAGACGAGAAGACCCUGUGGAGCUUUAGACACCAAACCAGACCAUGUCAAAUACCCCCACUUAAAGAACUGAACUUAUUGGCACCCCGUCUUGAUGUCUUUGGUUGGGGCGACCUCGGGGAAACAAAAAACCCCCGCGUGGAAUAGGAGUACCCUACUCCCAAAACUAAGAACCGCAGCUCAAAUUAACAGAACUUCUGACCAAUUACAGAUCCGGCCUCUGCGCCGAUCAACGGACCGAGUUACCCCAGGGAUAACAGCGCAAUCCUCUUCUAGAGCCCAUAUCGACAAGAGGGUUUACGACCUCGAUGUUGGAUCAGGACAUCCUAAUGGUGCAGCCGCUAUUAAGGUUCGUUUGUUCAACGAUUAAUC